rnacentral:rRNA from 1 species
GAUGAACGCUGGCGGCGUGCCUAAUACAUGCAAGUCGAGCGAACGGACGAGAAGCUGGCUUCUCUGAUGUUAGCGGCGGAGGGGUGAGUAACAUGGGGAUAACCUACCUAUAAGACUGGGAUAACUUCGGGAAACCGGAGCUAAUACCGGAUAAUAUUUGGAAACGCAUGGGUCAAAAGUGAAAGACGGUCUUGCUGUCACUUAUAGAUGGAUCCGCGCGUCAUUAGCUAGUUGGUAAGGUAACGGCUUACCAAGGCAACGAUGCAUAGCCGACCUGAGAGGGUGAUCCGCUACCCUGGAACUGAGACACGGCCCAGACUCCUACGGGAGGCAGCAGUGGGGAAUCUUCCGCAAUGGGCGAAAGCCUGACGUAGCAACGCCGCGUGAGUGAUGAAGGUCUUCGGAUCGUUAAACUCUGUUAUCCGGGAAGAACUUAUGUGCAAGUACCUGUGCACAUCUUGACGGUACCUAAUCAGUAAGCCCCGGCUAACUACGUG